AACGUAGGAGACGAACGUUAUCCGGGGUUACUGGGCGUAAAGGGCGUGUAGGCGGUUUGUUAAGUCUGGCGUGAAAGCUCUCGGCUAAACCGGGAGAGGUCGUUGGAUACUGGCGAACUCGAGGAUGGUAGAGGCGUGUGGAAUUCCGGGUGUAGUGGUGAAAUGCGUAGAGAUCCGGAGGAACACCAGUGGCGAAGGCGACACGCUGGGCCAUACCUGACGCUAAAGCGCGACAGCAUGGGGAGCAAACGGG
rnacentral:rRNA from 1 species